GUGCAAGGUACAUAGGUCCUAGCGUCACAGGUAAAUAAGGUGGUUGAGAAGGCUUUUGACACAUUGGUCCUUAGUCAGGGUAUUGAGUAUAGAGGUUGGGGUGUUAUGUCACAACUGUGAAAGGCACUGUUGAGACCAAAGUUGGA